rnacentral:rRNA from 1 species
UGGGGAAUAUUGGACAAUGGGCGAAAGCCUGAUCCAGCCAUGCCGCGUGUGUGAAGAAGGUCUUCGGAUUGUAAAGCACUUUAAGUUGGGAGGAAGGGCAGUAAGCUAAUACCUUACUGUUUUGACGUUACCGACAGAAUAAGCACCGGCUAACUCUGCGCCAG